GUACCAAUUUGUCAUCCAAGCAACAAAUAUUCUUUGGUAAUCUCAGAUGAUGACAGUUUUCUCUUUGGCAUUUUUAUGAGUUAAAGCUUUCAAGGCCAAAGGUAUCAGCUAUCAGCAGUGAUAUACAAGUCUUCAUUGCCAAACAGUGACCCACUUUACUGUUCUUCAAUGUCAAGAGUCUGGAAAUGUCAGCCCAAGGAGAUCACGUUUGUGUCCAAGGUUACUUUGGUAAUUCUCUAAGAACAAAAGACAGACUCUGUGUUGUUGAUCUGCGGGUUAGCGGCUCAAUCAUUGUGCACUGAUUUUCCACUGUUGCCUUGAUACUCCACUGAUGGCUUGAUACUCCACUGACGACUUGGUUCUCCACUGAUGCCUUGAUUGCCAUAAGUUUAUCUACUGAUCUACAGAUCAAGGAUAGCAUUUCAAAAACUAAAAGUUGGAGCUGUUGGGUUGAAAACAAAUAAAUGAACUCACAUUAGGCUGCAUUACUUCCUAGAAAAUUAAAUGCAUUUUUCUCAACUCACUUGUAGACGAAAUGGUCAAUUAAACAUUGAGGUCAAGAAAAAAAGGAUGAACAUUUCAAGGCUACAGGAGGAACAUUAAACGUCUCUCUCACUGUGAAAUAAUUCUAUCGAUCUACAACUGGUCAACAUGUUUUAUCUAAAGUUCAUCUGCCGUUUCUUCAAAUGGAGCCAUAGUCAGAAUAAGGUUCAAAUGUAUCAGUUGUUUUUGUUGACAGAUAUCAAGGUACAGAAAUAAUAAUCUAAUUUAGAGUUUUUUAAAGCUUGAUUAGUCAUAAUAUUUGCACUAUUAUUUCCAAUAUGUGCCAGAGUGUCUGCUAAAUGUAACUAGUAUGAUUAAAAACAUGGUCGUUGCAAAGUCUAACAUAUGGACAAGUAGGAUGUUUGGGGCUUGAUUCAGUGAAAGAAUGUUGGGCAAGCAGAAGUGUUAUGGAGUGUGUGUGUGUGUUUAUGGUGACUGUGGAAAGCGGUAAGCUGUUGUAUGUGAAUGAUGCAAAAGUGGCAUUGUCGUCACUUGGUCUUAGUUAGGGGAGACGACUCCAGAAUGUAAGACUGAAAGGUUGUGUUAUUGUAGUGAGUUAGAUUGUAAGAAAUUUUAUUACUUAAGUCUACUACAUUUAUUUCAUGUGAUCACAAGUAUUAUAAAUGUUAUAUUUAGUUUCGUUCACAAGGAAGUUGUUCAAGUUCUUUUAGCUAAGAUAUAUUAUGCCUUCAACAGUUUAGUUUCCUACCAGCAGUUUGGGGCUACAAGUCAACAACAGUCAGCAACAACAAGACUAAAUUAAAUAAAGCCAUGUCUAUUUCUACAUGAUUUUGUUGCUACUAACCUGAUGUUACUAACAACUAACUUGAAAAGGAAGAGGUGAAUUAUCAUCUUAUUCAUGCUCUAACUCUUCAAAUUCUAUAGAAUUGCAGAGAACUGACAUGAAAUAAAACAUAAACAAAAUGUGUAUUAUAAUUGUAACUUUUCCUCUACUUAGCAUUUUUUUUCUCCUAGAUUUUCAUAAUUUUUUGCUGAAGUCAUUUCAGUUCUCAAUUAUUUUGUGCACCAAGUUACAAGAAAAAAUUCAAGCAAGAGAGGUCACUACACUAAGACUUUGUCUUCUCAUAAGAAUGGAUGGCUGCCUGGUCAUGUGAUAUGUGCGCUGGACUGUGUGUUGUCAUCUUGAUGCUCAUAUCUUGCCUGAUGACAUUUAUUCUGCUGGACAUUUGGUCAAGGAAGUAGAUUCUCUUUAGCUCUCAAGAAACAUUCAAAACAUGUCAAACAUUUGACAAGAAUAUCAAGCAAGAGCAGUGUACAUACCAGCAUGAUGAAGAUGUAGACCAACAUGAUGAAGAUGUAGACCAGCAUGAUGAAGAUGUAGACCAACAUGAUGAAGGUGUAGACCAGCAUGAUGAAGAUGUAGACCAGCAUGAUGAAGAUGUAGACCAAAAUAUUGAUCAAGAGAUGUAGGGAAUAAAAUGUGAACAUCUUUGAGAAGUAAAAAAGACACAGACACAGUAGAUACAUUUGAGAUUGUUUCCUUUUCUACCAUCAUUUAGAGCCUUCCUUGUGCUCUAAGGGAACCUGCCAUUAUCUUUUGAUUUGAAGAUGUUUUUACAUUCCUACUGCGUCUGAAAGAAAUGAACAUUUCCCUAAUGCUACUUCAAAAACAGAACUUCUCAAGACAAUGUGACCAAGCUACAAUACAGGACCCAGUAAGAAACAAUGAAGAAUCCUCCCAACCUCAGGUUGAGUACCCAUGCUCACCUACUAGAGUGGCGACACAUACUUCUACACCCACAGUUAUAUAUCCUGAACCCUGUAACCCAACCUCACAACAUGGUUACAUUACCAGAAGUGGUUGCGAAGUCAGAAAACCUAACAGAUACAAUGAAUAGAACAAUCAUUUCUAAUACCAGGUACAAGUACUCAAGUGAUGUACUUUGUAAGAACUAAUUAAGUGGAAUCACCAUAAUCGAUUUCUAUCUUGUUCUAUAUAUAUAGGUAUAUCUUAACAAUCAGUCCAGUCAUUUGUUCAUUCUUUUUUUAAUAUUCCUUUUGUUCCCUCAAUCUUCUUGUUGUUUCAGUUAAAUGUUUUUAUCUUUUUUGUUUUUGGAGGAGGGAGGGGCUGUGGUAUAUUAUUAUUAUUGGAGUCACACCACCACCAAAGCGUUGCUACAUUAUGCUUUGAAUUAUUAUCUCCCCUGCUUUGGUGUGCUAUCAUAUUAAUGCUCAUUAGUGUCACAUCCAUGCAUAAUUUGUUCUAUGCUUUUUAUAGUGUAAAUAGUGAUGGAAAUUAUUUAGAUCAAUUAUAGUAUGUUAUAUUAUGUCAUUGUAGUUUAAAUAAACUGUUAACAUUUUCUGCGCUGUUAUUAAUAUGAAUGUUUUCCUGUGUUGCUAUGAAUGCGGUUUUUGAGUUUUAGUCCGAAAUGAUAGAUGAGAAAUUAUUCCAUAAAUAAAGAGUGGAUUAAUAUUGACUACUUGGUAUUGUCAGACUUCACUAAAGCAUUGAGUUCAUCCCCUUAGUCUAUUUAAAACUUUCAAAUACUAAUUCACUUUGUUUUAUCUAAUAUUGUCAUGGGGUAUCCACUUUGGUCUGUCAUCUCCAUAGUGUCUAGUAUGAACACUCACUGUCCUGUUGGAGGUUAGGGCUAGGAUGUAAUCUCUAUUUCUGAUGGGACACAUGUAAAACCAACAAAACAAACAGGAGACCUAGACUUUAUUAACAGGUCCUACAAACAUUUUUUAUAAUUGAACUGGCUCUCCCAGAGCUAUUUUUUAUGUAUGCUUAUUUUUACUACUUUUGUAGACUAAUGCUAACUGUAUACUUAUACUUAGCCUAUUAUUAUAUGGGUUAGGGCGAAGCUGUUUCCUGUACUGUUGACCGUUGGUCUGUGUGUCAGACUACUUGAAGCUGCCUGUAUGUUUCAGAAUUUUUUUUAAAAAAUUUUCUACAUGUAAACCUACUUUCAUGUUUAGUUCUAUAUGGUACAUUAUUUUUCUAAUUGUCAAAAUAAUUGGCAGUUAGUUUUUUAAUGUUUGUUUUAAAAUGAUGGCCACUUCUAAUGUUUAUGUACUAGAUCUUGUCCUUAUGUUUUUGUAUUUUUAUCUGCAGUGUUUUGUAACUGCUGCCUUAGUCAUUGAAAUUAAAGUCUCAUUUUUGCAUU